rnacentral:rRNA from 1 species
GACGAACGCUGGCGGCGUGCUUAACACAUGCAAGUCGAACGGUGAUGCUCCAGCUUGCUGGAGUGGAUCAGUGGCGAACGGGUGAGUAACACGUGAGCAACCUGCCCCAGACUCUGGAAUAAGCGCUGGAAACGGCGUCUAAUACUGGAUACGAAACUGGCCCGCAUGGGCAUGGUUUGGAAAGUUUUUCGGUUUGGGAUGGGCUCGCGGCCUAUCAGCUUGUUGGUGAGGUAAUGGCUCACCAAGGCGACGACGGGUAGCCGGCCUGAGAGGGCGACCGGCCCCCCGGGGCCUGAGACCCGGCCCAGCCCCCCUCGGGGGGCAGGGGGGGGGAAUUUUCCCAAAGGGGCGAAAGCCUGAUGCAGCGACCCCGGGUGGGGGAGGACGGCCUUCGGUUUUUAAACCUUUUUCAGCAGGGAAGAAGCGAAAGUGACGGUCCCUGCAGAAGAAGCCCCGGCAAACUCCGU